GCUUACGGCCAUACCACUCUGAAAGCGCCCGAUCUCGGAAGCCAAGCAGGGUCGGGCCUGGUUAGUACUUGGAUGGGAGACCGCCUGGGAAUACCAGGUGCUGUAAGCU
rnacentral:rRNA from 1 species